rnacentral:rRNA from 1 species
UACGUAGGUGACAAGCGUUGUCCGGAUUUACUGGGCGUAAAGAGCGCGCAGGCGGUCGAUCAAGUCGAGUGUGAAAGCCCCCGGCUCAACUGGGGAGGGUCAUUCGAUACUGAUCGACUCGAAGGCAGGAGAGGGUAGUGGAAUUCCCGGUGUAGUGGUGAAAUGCGUAGAUAUCGUAAGGAAGACCAGUGGCGAAGGCGGAUCUCUGGACAGUUACUGACACUGAGGCACGAAGGCCAGGGGAGCAAACGGG